GUCCACUUAGAUCAGUCGUAGAUCGUUAGUUUCCGGUCAGGAAUAGCUAAAGGUCGAGGGUUCAAUCCCCUCAGUGGAUA